UUGAGGGUCUAAAGGCCGGGGCAGAUAUUUUUCCUGCCACCGAAUACAUUAGCAUGGGAUAAUGGAAUAGGACCCUGACCUCCUAUUUUCAGUUGGUUUUGUUUACAGCGAGGUUAUAUCAGGGUAAUGAUUAAUAGGGAUAGUUGGGGGCAUUAAUAUUUAAUUGUCAGAGGUGAAAUUCUUGGAUUUAUGAAAGAUUAACUUCUGCGAAAGCGUUUGCCAAGGAUGUUUUCAUUAAUCAAGAACGAAAGUUAGGGGAUCGAAGACGAUCAGAUACCGUCGUAGUCUUAACCAUAAACGAUGCCGACCAGCGAUUAGGAGACGUUGAAUACAAAACACCGCUGUUAAUCCUUUCGGGGGUUAAUAGUUGGUGAAUGACUCCCUAGCAGCUUGUGAGAAAAA
rnacentral:rRNA from 1 species